rnacentral:rRNA from 1 species
UGAGUAACCUGCCCUUAACUCUGGGAUAAGCCUGGGAAACUGGGUCUAAUACCGGAUAUGACUCCUCAUCGCAUGGUGGGGGGUGGAAAGCUUUUUGUGGUUUUGGAUGGACUCGCGGCCUAUCAGCUUGUUGGUGAGGUAAUGGCUCACCAAGGCGACGACGGGUAGCCGGCCUGAGAGGGCGACCGGCCACACUGGGACUGAGAUACGGCCCAGACUCCUACGGGAGACAG